rnacentral:misc_RNA from 1 species
CGGAGGGAUCAUUACACAAUAUGAAAGCGGGCUGGACUCCCCCCAGCAGUGCGUUGCUUUGCGGCGUGCGCUGUUGGGGCCAGCCUUGCUGAAUUAUUCACCCGUGUCUUUUGCGUACUUCUUGUUUCCUUGGUGGGUUCGCCCACCACAAGGACAAACCAUAAACCUUUUGUAAUUGCAAUCAGCGUCAGUAACAA